rnacentral:rRNA from 1 species
CAAUAGCGUAUAUUAAAGUUGUUGCAGUUAAAAAGCUCGUAGUUGGAUUUCUGGUGGGAGCGAUCGGUCUGGCGCUUAGCGCGAGUACUUGCAUCGUCUCCGGCCAUCCUUGGGGAGAGUCUGUCUGGCAUUAAGUUGUCGGGCAGAGGAUCCUCAUCGUUUACUGUGAAAAAAUUAGAGUGUUCAAAGCAGGCUUAUGCCGUUGAAUAUAUUAGCAUGGAAUAAUAAGAUAGGACUUUGGUACUAUUUUGUUGGUUUGCGCACCAAAGUAAUGAUUAAUAGGGACAGUUGGGGGUAUUCGUAUUCCGUUGUCAGAAGUGAAAUUCUUGGAUUUACGGAAGACGAACUACUGCGAAAGCAUUUACCAAGGAUGUUUUCAUUAA